UUACGUAAUGAGAAUUUUAGCGU
rnacentral:piRNA from 1 species